rfam:Ictidomys tridecemlineatus contig000954, whole genome shotgun sequence.
GGGGUUGUGGCUCAGCGGUAGAGCACUCGCCUCACAAGUGCAAGACCCUGGGUUCGAUCCUCAGCACCA